UAACUUCAAUAACUCUCUCUCUCUCUCUUCAAACAGAAGGUUUUGUGAUUUGCUCCGAUGAAUAUUCCGGCCACCGCUCAUGAACCGAACGUUAUCUCCAUCAACGUUGGAGGCCGAAUCUUCCAGACGACGAAACAAACCUUAACCUUAGCCGGAACCGAUUCUCUUCUCUCCCAACUCGCCACUGAGUCUACUACUCGUUUCGUCGAUCGAGAUCCCGGUCUCUUCUCCGUCCUUCUCUACAUCCUCCGCACGGGAAACCUCCCCGCGAGAUCAGCCUCCUUCGACGUCCGAGAUCUCAUCGAAGAGUCCAGAUACUACGGAAUCGAGCCCUUCCUCAUCGACUCCCUCUCGAAUCCGUCCCAGUUCGAGGCCUUCGAUCUCCGCAAAUCCCGCAUCCUCCAAUUAAACGGCCGAGACUCUCCGUCUACAAUCGCCCCGACGAGUAACGGCGGAGGAGGUCUCCACGUGGCGCACGGGAGCAAAAUCACCUCCUUCGACUGGUCGUUACGGCGGAAAUCGACGGUGCUGACUAGCUUCUCCGCCGUGGAUUCGCUUCUAGAGAUCUCUCCGGGAGUUUUAGCCGCCGGAGCCACCGACUUCCCCGGCUUGCAGAUCAUCGAUCUCGAAAACGGCGGAAACGUACGGACGACGCUGAACUGGGAGACCGUGGCUAGCUCGACGGUUCAAGGCGUAGGCUCUUCCUCCGAGUUUCUGUUCGCUAGCUUCGAAUCUAGCAGAAGGAACUCGAAUUCGAUUAUGGUGUACGAUCUCUCCACGUUGUUACCUCUCUUAGAGCUCGACCGUUGCGACGUCUACGGUGCUGGAAAUGAUUCUGCGAUCCCCUCGAAUAAGUUGAGAUGGGUUGAGAGCUGUAACUUGUUGAUGGUCUCUGGCUCUCACGCUAGUCCGUCUGGCGUGAGUGGUCACGUGCGGUUUUGGGACGUUAGGUCGAGGAGUAUGGUUUGUGAGAUUAAGGAGAGGGAAGAUUGUUUCUCUGAUGUCGCUGUCUCGGAGAAUCUCUCAGCGGUUUUCAAGGUGGGUGUGGUUUCAGGGGAGGUUUUCUACAUGGAUUUGAGGGGUUUAGGAGGUAAGGAUCAGCCAUGGGUUUGUCUUGGGGAAGAGAAGAAGAGAGGCUUGAAUGAGAGGAAAGGAGCUGGGUGUAAGAUAGAGAGCUAUGGGAAUCAUGUGUUUUGUAGUAAAGGGAGUGGGAUUGAGCUUUGGUCUGAAGUGAUUACGGGGUUGGUGGGGAAUGCGAGCCGGGAUGUAUUGGAGGAGAGGGUUUUUAGGAAGAAUUCGUUCGCGGCGGGUUCUGGAGGAAACAAGAUAACUGGAUUGGCGUUUGGAGGGAGCAGGAUGUUUGUGACCCGGAAGGAUCAACAGUCUAUCGAGGUUUGGCAGAGUCCAAGUCGUGGAGUAUCGAUGUAAUGUCCCCAGUAUCAAGGGGAUGUUUAUCUACCUGAGCUAGUUUUGUAGUCGGAGAGGAUGUUAUUACCGUUACCCACUUCGGAUUCAUGAAAUCUGCUACCCGAAUAUGAUUAGGUUGGGAAGCUGCCGGAAAACCAGAAAAGUAACCAUUGUUGUGAAACGGAGAACUCUUGUCAUAUCCUUGUCCUCCUGCGAAUCCUGUCUGGAAUUCAUAGAGAUCAGAGAACUGAGGUACUACCGGUGGUUGCAUCGGUUGGUAGCUGUUGUUGCUUGCUAAAGAAGUAACCCCUUGGCUUGGGGAAGGAAACAACGAAGAACCUACCGGAAAGCUCUGCAACGUUGGCGAUGAAGACAGCUGUGGCACAUAGGGUAUCGCAAAGUUAUCAUCUUUCUUUGUUUCGGAUCUGUUUUUGAUGGUGUUGGCUUCUCUCGUCUUCUUUUGUCUCUGUCUUAGCUUUGGAGCUUCAAUGGCCAAAACAACACUCUUCUUCUCA